GGCGCACGGUGGCUUAGUGGUUAGGACUUUCGCCUCAUACCUGAGGGUCCAGGUUUCGAUUCCUGCCAGAGCCA